CUAGCGAGGAGCAAACUGCGUUGUUGCGAGGAAGAAAAAAAAAGAAAAGACUGCCGAAAUGUAUACGACUGACCGGCAAUAUGCAGGCUAUUCGACCUGGUUUCAGAGUAUGAGGAGCCGGUGUCGUUUUGACCAAUUAGUUAGGAUCGGGGUAAUUGUAGAGGCGUUUACGCGCCCGAUUAGCCCACUCGUGGGGUUGGAGCUUCUCAGGCAGCUGAGGAAGAUGGUGAGGGUGCUCCCCCCGGAGCUGGAGACCGUCGAGGGUCAAUUCGCUGUAAGCUGGUUUUUGGUGGGGCCUCGGAUUCAGGUAGAGGUCAUUAACGUCCAGGAUGUGCAGGUGCUUGCCACCUGCAUGAUAGAAACGGCGGACGAUAUGAUUAGAUCCGCAACGGGAUUGCUCAAGGACAUCGAGGGGGAGUAGUGCCCAUCAGUGGUCCAGCGUUUAGGAGUGAUGAAGAUUCAUGAAAAAUUAUAAAAAGUUAUGUUAUACUUAUAAAAAAAAAUUUCUCUCUCUUUUUUUUUUUUUAUUAAUAAAACAAAAAAAAACUUUCA